ensembl:lincRNA
CUAUUGGCUUGGGAAGUUCUUGAAUGUUCCAUCUGUGAGUAUUAGACCACAAGGAAAUGAGAGCUGUCAUUUUCAGUAUUUGCAGGCCAUCUCGAGAGAGAGGAAGAAAAAUACGCUGCGUAUAUCACAUAUGAUGUCUGAACCCUGUUGUUAUCAUCACUCAUGGGUUGAGUUGUGUUUGGUUCACCCCCCACAGCACAAACUACAGAGAAGGGGCCUGGGACAGAGAGAGGACCACAGGGAAAACACUCCAAGCAUGGGGCUCUGGAGGCCCAAGUGGAGCUGCUUUCCACUUUGUGUAUACUAGAUACACUAUAGCAGCAAGAAUGAUUCCUCGAAUGCUGAGAUAAUGGACUCUGGCCUUGGGGACCGUGAUCCCACCUUGGACCCCUGCAGCUCCGAGAACCCCCAGCUCCACCCUUGCCUCACACACAUACGCUCUUUGUGAAUGAGGAGAAUAAGACCCAGAAAACAGAAGCC